GAUGAACGCUGGCGGCGUGCCUAAUACAUGCAAGUCGAGCGAACAGACGAGGAGCUUGCUCCUCUGACGUUAGCGGCGGACGGGUGAGUAACACGUGGAUAACCUACCUAUAAGACUGGGAUAACUUCGGGAAACCGGAGCUAAUACCGGAUAAUAUAUUGAACCGCAUGGUUCAAUAGUGAAAGACGGUUUUGCUGUCACUUAUAGAUGGAUCCGCGCCGCAUUAGCUAGUUGGUAAGGUAACGGCUUACCAAGGCAACGAUGCGUAGCCGACCUGAGAGGGUGAUCGGCCACACUGGAACUGAGACACGGUCCAGACUCCUACGGGAGGCAGCAGUAGGGAAUCUUCCGCAAUGGGCGAAAGCCUGACGGAGCAACGCCGCGUGAGUGAUGAAGGUCUUCGGAUCGUAAAACUCCGUUAUUAGGGAAGAACAAAUGUGUAAGUAACUAUGCACGUCUUGACGGUACCUAAUCAGAAAGCCACGGCUACUACGUG
rnacentral:rRNA from 1 species